rnacentral:rRNA from 1 species
UGGGGAAUCUUGGACAAUGGGCGCAAGCCUGAUCCAGCCAUGCCGCGUGAGUGAAGAAGGCCUUAGGGUUGUAAAACUCUUUCGCCGGAGAAGAUAAUGACGGUAUCCGGAGAAGAAGCCCCGGCUAACUUCGUGCCAGCAGCCGCGGUAAUACGAAGGGGGCUAGCGUUGUUCGGAAUUACUGGGCGUAAAGCGCACGUAGGCGGGUUUGUAAGUAGGGCGUGAAAUCCCAGGGCUCAACCCUGGAACUGCCUUCUAAACUGCAAGCCUGGAGGUCAGGAGAGGCGAGUGGAAUACCGAGUGUAGAGGUGAAAUUCGUAGAUAUUCGGUGGAACACCAGUGGCGAAGGCGACUCGCUGGACUGAUACUGACGCUGAGGUGCGAAAGCGUGGGGAGCAAACAGGAUUAGAUACCCAUGUAGUCCCUGAGCGGGCUGGCAAGGCGCAU